UGAACUGAGGAGAAUAGAGAAGGAAAAAUUGAAGGAAUAAAGGUUUUAGAAGAAGAAAAGCAUAGAGAUUUCAGAAAUCAGAAUUUCAUUUAUUCAUCAGAUUCCCUGCAGAUAAGAACUAAAUAUUUUCCUCCUUUGGGCUGUUGGCUGGAUUGCAGGCCGGUUCUUGCUGCAUAGAUCCUUGUCCCCAAGGAUCGAAACUUGGAAACCGAGACAUGAAACUGGUAUGAGCUUCCCAAGUAUCGUGAUUUGAGUUCAAGUUCAUCCAUCGUACGAGUAAAUUCUGGCAGAAAGAUUGCAAUCUUAGGAGGAUUAGUUUCAUCCUGUGAUUGCUUCAUCAAAGCUGUUAAAUCUUCAAGUUGUUUUCGUAUGGCGGAAAGAUCAGGAUUUUCUGGCAUUGUUUGGUUUCUUUUUGGCAUACUCAAGCGUUGAUUGCCAGGAGUGAUGGCUCUGUAUACCAAUUUGUUAUGAACUGAGGAGAAUAGAGAAGGAAAAAUCGAAGGAAUAAAGGUUUUAGAAGAAGAAAAGCAUAGAGAUUUCAGAAAUCAGAAUUUCAUUUAUUCAUCAGAUUCCCUGCAGAUAAGAACUAAAUAUUUUCCUCCUUUGGGCUGUUGGCUGGAUUGCAGGCCGGUUCUUGCUGCAUAGGUAAUGGACUUCCCUUUUUAUAUCUAUUGUUUUAAUAAUCACUUGCUUCCCACGUGCACUCUCCUCUUUCAUCCAAUCCCUAAAUUUCCCAAUUGAUUUACUCUCAAUCCCUAACCCUUCCUUAGUAAUUCCCAAAUUACUUUCUUCGAGUCUAACUUCUUCUUCUCUGCCUUCUCU